UACGGGGGGGGCAAGCGUUGUUCGGAAUUACUGGGCGUAAAGGGCUCGUAGGCGGCCAACUAAGUCAGACGUGAAAUCCCUCGGCUUAACCGGGGAACUGCGUCUGAUACUGGAUGGCUAGAGUUUGGGAGAGGGAUGCGGAAUUCCAGGUGUAGCGGUGAAAUGCGUAGAUAUGCGGAGGAACACCGAUGGCGAAGGCAAUCCCCUGGGCCUGCACUGACGCUCAUGCACGAAAGCGUGGGGAGCAAACAGG
rnacentral:rRNA from 1 species